rnacentral:rRNA from 1 species
UACGUAGGCAGCAAGCGUUGUUCGGAAUUACUGGGCGUAAAGAGUGUGUAGGCGGUGCUCUAAGUUUGGUGUGAAAUCUCCCGGCUCAACUGGGAGGGUGCGCCGAAAACUGGAAUGCUUGAACAUGGGAGAGGAAAGCGGAAUUCCUGGUGUAGCGGUGAAAUGCGUAGAUAUCAAGAGGAACACCUGCGGUGUAGACGGCUUUCUGGACCAUUGUUGACGCUGAGACACGAAAGCGUGGGUAGCAAACAGG